rnacentral:rRNA from 1 species
AGGACUAACGCUGGCGGCGUGCCUAACACAUGCAAGUCGAACGGGGUAGCAAUACCCAGUGGCAGACGGGUGAGUAACACGUGGUCAACCUACCUCUAUGUGGGGGAUAACUAGCCGAAAGGUUAGCUAAUACCGCAUACGAUCGCUUUGGGGCAUCCCUAGGCGAUGAAAGGAGCAAUCCGCAUAGAGAGGGGACUGCGUCCCAUUAGUUAGUUGGUGGGGUAACGGCCUACCAAGACUCCGAUGGGUAGCUGGCUUGAGAGAGCGACCAGCCACACUGGAACUGAGACACGGUCCAGACUCCUAUGGGAGGCAGCAGUGAGGAAUUUUCCGCAAUGGGCGAAAGCCUGACGGAGCGACGCCGCGUGUGGGAAGAAGGCCUUCGGGUCGUAAACCACUGUCGAAGGGGACGAUAAUGACGGUACCCUUGGAGGAAGCCCGGCUAACGUACGCGCCAGCACGCCGC